rnacentral:siRNA from 1 species
UUGGGGAAUCUGACCGUGUGCUGU